rnacentral:misc_RNA from 1 species
UUUCCGUAGGUGAACCUGCGGAAGGAUCAUUCAUAAUAAAGUGUUUUAUGGCACUUUUUAAAAAUCCAUAUCCACCUUGUGUGCAAUGUUAGAUCUCGUCAAUCUUGGCGAGAUUUUUAUACAUCAACUCAUCCUUUAACUAAUUUGUCUGAAAAAUAUUAUGAAUACUUAAUUCAAAAUACAACUUUCAACAACGGAUCUCUUGGCUCUC